rnacentral:lncRNA from 1 species
UGGAUAAGCUGUUGAUAUAGAAUCUGUGAUAUCUUGAGGGUUAGUUAUAUGAUUUUCCUUUGUAUUGGUAUCUAUAUAGUCUGCUUCAUAAUCUUGAUUGACUGUAGGUGCAGGUUGAUAGAAACCAACAGAGUGUUGGUUAUCUCCCUCAAAUUGCCUGUUGUCUACAUUAGAUAAAAAUAUGGGAGAUGAAGAUGUAGUAAUAUUCUUGAAUGGAAACACAUGUUCUCUGAAAAUAACAUCUCUGCUUACAAAGAAAGAGUUAGUAGUCAAGUCAUAUAACACAUAACCUUUUUGUACCUCCGAAUAUCCCAUAAAAACUGUAGAUUUUGCUCUUGGUUUCAUUUUGUCUAAUUCAUUUACUGUUUUGGCAUAGCGAAGAAACCCUAUAACUCUUAGGUGAAUUAGAUAAGGUUUUCUUUUGUAUAACUUUUCAAAUGGUGAAACUCCUACUACUGAUGAAGGAAGUCUAUUAAUUAUGUAUACAGUUGCAAGAACAUACUGCCCCCAAAAUUAAUAGGUAUGUUAGCCUGAAAUUUAAUAUCUCUAGUUACUUCUAGUAUGUGUCUAUGUUUUCUCUCAGCUACACCAUUUUGCUGAGGAGUAUACACACAAGAUCUUUGAUGAAUGAUACCCAAUCCUUUAAAUAGAUUAGUACAGGCAGUAUUUACAAACUCUAUUCCAUUGUCUGUUCUUACUAUUUUAACAUUCUUUUUUAAUUGUGUUUGAACAAAAUUUAGGAAAUACUGAAUAAUUACACACACACCAGACUUCAACUUUAAUAAGUAAAUCCAAGUUAUUCUAGAGUAGUCAUCAACUAUAGUCAAGAAGUAUUUAUUUCCAUCAAAUGUAGGAACUUUAUAGGGCCCCCAGAUAUCAAUGAGCAGUAGUUCAAAACAAUCAGUACUUUUAAUAAAACUUGCAAGAAAAGGUAAUCUAGUUUGUUUUGCACAAGGACGCACAUUGCACUUACUUAACACUUCAGCUAUAGACUCUACUUUAUUCGGAACCAUUUUCUUAAGAACAGAUAAGAACUCAUGGCCAAAUCUUGUAUGCCAUAGGCUUAAGUCUUCUGCACUAAGCACUUCCUUUACAAGUAAAUUGAAAGUUCUAUCUUUAUUAGCAAGGUGACUCAGUAGAAUGUAUAGGCCAUCUCUUUCUUUACCAAUCUCUCUCACCCUCCAAUUGAAGAGAUCCUGAAAAAUACAAAAAUAAGGGUAGAAGGUUGCUCCACAGGCUAAUUCCUUAGUCAUUUUUGACACAUACAUUAGAUUGAAUUUAAAUUGAGGUAAAUGAAAAAUAUUACUAAGUGUACUCCUAGCAGAUAUUGAACUGGUUCCAGUAUGAGUAACAUUUGAAAUUUCACCAUUCGGAAGACAAACUCUCUUAGGAUUAACAUUUGCAACUAUAGACUCUUGAUUUAACAUGUUAGUAUCAGAUAUCAUAUGGUUAGUUGCACCUGUAUCAAUAAUCCAUUAUUUUGGACAAUUAGAAACCAUCAGUGCAAUACUCAUACCUACUGUAUUAGCUGCAUUAGCUGAUGAAUUGUUAUUGUUGCCUUCCAGAUUUGUUUUGUUUAGAAUUUAUAUAAUCUGUUCAUAUUGGUCUUUUGUGAAUUCUCCUAUAUGUGGUACUGAAUUCUCAGUAACUUGACCAUUUGCCAUUUGAGAAACUUGCUGCUGAUAAUUCACAUUAGGCUACGUAACUUUUGCAAAAGCAUUGUAGGUUGCUGAACCUGUUGUCGUACUUCUUGUACCACUCCUAUAAUUUUUCCUUUUAGACUUGAAGUCUUGAGGAUAACGAACGAUCUUGAAACAGUUCUCUUUACUAUGACCUCUCAUUUUAAAAAAAUCACACUGGAUAUUGUAAUUCUUUUUGUAUAUUUGAUUUCCCACAUUUUUUGUAUGCAUUGCAACAUCAUAACUUUCAGUAGUAAUAUCUGGAUUGCCCCUAAGAUUCCAGAAGUGGCUGCCAUUGCUUUUUGACUCUCAUCACUUAUAAUUAUUGAGUAUGUUCAAUUUACUGUUAGUAGAGGAUGUCUCAUAAGAAUUUGACUUUUUGCUUGAGAGUAAGACUCAUUUAGCCCCAAUAGAAACUAGUAUACCUUCAGUUUUUGUAGGUAGACUACAAAAUCUCUGGAUCUUGGGUAAUCACAACAAGGAACUUGAAUUAAUGACUCAUAUUCUUCCCACAUAUCCUUAAGUUUGGAAUAAUACACAGAAACUGAAGAAGUGCCCUAAGUAAGAGUAGCAAUUUCUUUGUGUAAAUUGAAUGUUCUUGCAUCAUCUACUUUAUAAAAUCUCUCAUAUAGAUCAUCCCAAACUAUCUGAGCACUCAAUGCAUACAUAAUCCCACCAAGAAGACUACUAUUCACAACAUUCAUGAUCUACGAGAGUACAAUAUCAUUUACUCUCUCCCAAUGAUUUCCUAUGGUUGCAAGUAAAUUUUCUUUUCUACACGAACCAUCAACCAAUUAUAAUUUGUUCUUCCUAGUAACAAAACUCGCAUCGAACGAUACCAGACUGUGUAAUUUUCAAUUCCAGUCAACUGGAAUGAAAUAAUUUGUAUCCCACUGACAUCUGAAGGAUCAAGAAAGAUGGGAUGAUUAUAAUUAAUACCUGUUGUUUGAACUCCAGGUGGUUGAUUUUGAUGAGAUUCAGUCUGAUUCAGCUGAGAUCCAUUCACCUAACCAUCGUUUGCACUCAUCUUUUUCUUCUUGAAUUUUUCGACACAACCAAGAACAUACAGAAUUGAAUUGUGCAGAAGUUUGGAUCUUAAUCAAAGCUAUAUUAGAUUAGCUUUGGAGGCUCUGAUACUAUGAACUCUUUUAGAGAACAAUCAAAGUCACAAAUAUGUGACUUGAAUGAAGAAGCAGAUUCAGUAGAGGAGUAGAGGUAAGAGAGAAGAAGAGAGAAGAUAGAAGAUAGAAGUGGAGAGAGAAAUAAUCUUUC